ACGUACCUACGGGGGGCAGCAGUGGGGAAUAUUGCACAAUGGGGGAAACCCUGAUGCAGCAACGCCGCGUGAGUGAGGAAGUAUUUCGGUAUGUAAAGCUCUAUCAGCAGGGAAUAGAAAAGAAGGUACCUGAAAAAGAAGCCCCGGCUAACUACGUGCCAGCAGCCGCGGUAAUACGUAGGGGGCAAGCGUUAUCCGGAUUUACUGGGUGUAAAGGGAGCGUAGACGGCUGUGCAAGUCUGAAGUGAAAGCCCAGGGCUCAACCCUGGGACUGCUUUGGAAACUGUGGAGCUAGAGUGCUGGAG
rnacentral:rRNA from 1 species